ACGUGCGGAAUAUUUGUGUAUAAGGAAGUGGCAUCAAUGGUUACAAGGAUGGUUUCCGGGGGUAACAGACUGGGUAAGGAUUCCAGGCAUUCGAGAAAGUGGUUGGGAGACUGCAUCACUUGUUAUGUAUUGUCACAGGGACUACCUGGAAGAAGGCCUCUGCCAAUUAUCUGACUCCUCCACCUAUAAACUCUGCCAGAGUGAUCCCAUCCCAGAAGUCCAACACAACCUCCGAUCCCUGCUUAACGCCUUAGGCCCUUCCCAGAAUUUCUCCCCUAAAUCCAUUUCUCCAUCACCCCUAUGACACCCUGCACACUCACCUUCUACGUGCCCCCUAAAAUCCAUGAACCCAACAAUCCUGGACAGAUGGAACACAAGCUUUCCCAGCAUCAUUCAGACUCCACACACCCACUACCUCAUUCCUCACACACCUUACUAACUUUAUACUAACCCACAACUACUUCUCAUUUGAAGGGAAGGUAUAUAAACAAACCAGCGGCGCAGCCAUGGGAACCCGCAUGGCACCUUCUUAUGGUCCAUCUAAAGACCUUCCUGGCCUCCCACAACACCAAACCCCUAGUCUGGUUCAGAUUCAUUGAUGAUACCCUCAUUAUCUGGACUCAUGGCCAAGACAUAGCUUCAUUCCUUCAAAUAUCAACACCUCCUCUCCCAUCCGCAUCAUAAGGUGCUCCUCAACCCAGCAUGCCACCUUCCUAGAUGUUUACCGUCUCCUCUCUGAUGGCUCCAUCUGCACCUCUGUCCACUUUAAACCCACUAACUACCAACAGUACGUGUAUUUUGACAGCUUUCAUCCCUCUCACUGGUCACCCGGGAAAGGUGCAUAUGCAGUGACAAAAAUUCCCUUGCUCAGUGUGCUGAGGGUCUCACCAAGGCCUUCACAUACAGGCACUAUCCCCCAGUCCACAACCAGCUCGUCCAUACCAUUACCCCUCACACACCCAACCCUUCCACAACCCCCAAGAACAAGCACAAAGGAGUGUCCCCUUCAGCACCCAGCACCUGGAACAACUGAACCAUAUCCUUUGCCAGGACUUUGAUUACCUAUCAUUAUGCCCACUAUACUUCCCAACCCUCCUAAAGCGGUGUUCUGUCGCCCACUCAAUCUCCACAACAUCCUAGUCAAUCCCUAUGCCACUCCCACUCCCAUAUGGAAGACCCAGGUGCAAGACUGCCCAAUCCACCCACCCAGCACUUCCUUUUCCAGUCCUGUCACAGGUUUAUCCUGCCCCAUCAGGGGCCGGGUCACCUGUGAAAGCAGGCAUGUCAUUUACCAGCUCCACAGCAAUCAUUCCACAGCUUUUUAUGUUUUCAAAUAUUGGUAUGACUGCAAACCAGCUGUCCACUAGUUAGAAUGGUCGCCGCCAAACUGUGGCACAACAUGCAGCUGAACGUUACAUACUUGAUUUCAAUGGCUGCUUCACUACCCGAGCCACCUGGAUCCUUUCCUCUUCCACAGCUUUUCUGAACUGUGCAGGUGGGAGCUAGCCUUACAACAGCCGAGAAUUCUUCCGGGUUGUAUGGCUGUGGUCCAUGGAACUCUUCCAUCCCUAACGUUUCGUCCAAAGCUACGUUGCACAUCUUCAGAGAUACUCCUGGUUGUGCCGAGUCUUGCCGACUGACAAGCUGGACGUCGAAGAACGGCCUAAAUACCGUGGAAAGUGGGCUUGGUCUGGAUUUCAUGUGCUAUCGGAGAGGGUGCUGAAUCCAAAUUUUCGGAAAUGGGACAAAGAACAAUUGCUAACAUUGCUUCUCUACCACCAACUGAGGAUGCAGCUUGCCAGCAUAUUCUCCGAGCGUUCCAUCAGAUACAACAAAGUGGCUGAGCAAAAACAAAAAUCCCAAAGAAUGUGGUUGGACGAGGUCCAGGUAUCACUUGGUUCCAACGGCUAUGCUUCAGUCACUAGCACCUGAUGUUAUUCUGACAUAUAUGACAUGAAAAUACGAAAUAUGUGUUAUGGCUACUCUUGUAGAAGCUGAAAAACAAGCUUGCAUCUCUCAAAGUGCUGUAUCAACUGUGAUACAGUUUGUGAGAAUGUAAACCACCUCCAUUCACAAGACUUAGAAGAAGCCAUGUUGGGUGUAGGGGAGGAACAGGAGAUUGAAACGAGGACUUUUACAGAUGAAGGAGAAAUGGACGCUUUCAUUUUACCAUGUGAAUUAACAUCGUAACCUACUGAGGGAGUUGGGUUUUGGUGGCAGUGCCCAAAACCACACUAAACUUCCAACAUGCACUACAUGCCAUAAAAAAAACUUAUUGAGACCCAUUUUGUGGGCUGACAUUUUGGUGCGACUUAGAAAGUUUGGAUUCGGCACCCUUGGAAAUGUAUAGAAAGCUUAUAAAAAAAGCUUAUACAAAACUUGCCACUCAAAAUCACCAUCUGACUGGCCUAAAAAUUCAUCAAGGAACAAAAGAGAAAUUUGACCUCUGACUAGGAUAGUACCACUGGAAGUACAAAAUGUGAAUAUGUGGCAGAAUGUUGUGGCUCAAACUUUAUAUCCUCUACUCACAGUCUCCUUUUCCUUUGUUGUCACACAUAGCAUCAAUUUGUUAAAAAUUCCUAAAAUUAUUCAUCCAGAAUGAUACUUCUCUUUCCAGUACCCAUUAAAUUUUGCAAUGAAUUUUCUGUUGCAUACAUUCAAAUAGCACAUGCAAGUGCACACCCUACACAAUCGAGUGCUAUUCUGAUCCUGAAAUAUUGCAUCGCAAUGUGAUAUGUUGUAAAUUUAACUCUUGCAUGCCCUUACU